UAGGAUGUUGGCUUAGAAGCAGCCAUCAUUUAAAGAGUGCGUAAUAGCUCACUAGUCGAGUGACACUGCGCCGAAAAUGUACCGGGGCUAAACAUAUUACCGAAGCUGUGGAUUGUCCUUUGGACAAUGGUAGGAGAGCGUUCUAAGGGCGUUGAAGCAUGAUCGUAAGGACAUGUGGAGCGCUUAGAAGUGAGAAUGCCGGUGUGAGUAGCGAAAGACGGGUGAGAAUCCCGUCCACCGAUUGACUAAGGUUUCCAGAGGAAGGCUCGUCCGCUCUGGGUUAGUCGGGUCCUAAGCUGAGGCCGACAGGCGUAGGCGAUGGAUAACAGGUUGAUAUUCCUGUACCACCUAUAAUCGUUUUAAUCGAUGGGGGGACGCAGUAGGAUAGGCGAAGCGUGCGAUUGGAUUGCACGUCUAAGCAGUAAGGCUGAGUAUUAGGCAAAUCCGGUACUCGUUAAGGC
rnacentral:rRNA from 1 species